CGGUGAGUCCCACAGGGCCGCCCAGCCCGCAGCUCGCUAAAGAUAGCUCUUCACUUCCUGGGGAAAAACCACCCCAACCGUCUUCAUGGAGGGAGAGUAGCAAAAAUCACCAACUUUGCCAGUGGGUCCCAGCCCUGGUAGCAACUGAACCCACAGCAUGGAAAGUGCUUUGGAAUGACACGAUCACUCCCGUUGAGUGGGCACCCAAGAAGCCAUCGGGAAUAUCGUGUCCGCCCAGUGCUCUUUCGGCACCUCCCAAACAGGGCCUCAUAGCCCUGGCCUGGCCGAACUUUUCCUCUCUCUAGAUUUCACUCCUCUCCAGAGCAAAGUUCACCAGUUGGAUUCAUUCAUUACUGGGGGAAGUGAAGUUUUACGUUCCUUUGAAACGAAAGCGUUUGGACAGACAAAAGCUUCCCUGCCACAUGCUCCACCUGAGAUCUGCUUAUUUGAGUCCUUUUUUUUCACAUUUCAUUGUCUUAAACUGGCCAGUUGCCUAAAGACUCAGCCGGAAACACCAGUUUAAAGGAAAAACCAUUAAAGGCCAGUAGUUCUGGAAAUUAUGAUGACUCUUAAUUCCUCAGGCAUCAAGAUGGGCAAUUCUAUCAGAUAGGGCUUUUACUGAAAAUAAAGACAUCCCAUACCGCACCCGAGGAAAGGUGUGCCAAUAAUAUGAAAGAACUCAAAUUUUGUUUUGUUUCUUUACUUUUUCAAGUAGGCGGUAAAGGGUCUUUAAGGAGCGGUGGCGCACGCCUUUGAUCCCAGCCAGCAUUCGGGAGGUAGAGGCAAGUGGCUCUCUGAGUUCAAGACCAUGCUGGUCUACAAAGUUGAGUUCAAGGACAGGCAUGGCUACACAGAAAAACCCUGUCUCGAAAAACAAAAAAGGUGUCAUUAAUGGUAAAGCUUUCUUCCUUAGACAUUUCGUCUAGUGCGUCUGACCUUUAAUUUGUUUAAAUGGUGCGGAAAAAAAAGCACAAAGAUGUGAAACUUUGGUGGCAAUGUACGAGUCUUGACUGGUAACAAAGAUCCGUUACCAAAUUAAUAAUUCGGGGUGACGAUUAAAAAGUAAAAGGAAAAAAGAACCCUCAGAUUUGGGGGCUAGGGCUCACGAAUACAGGAAAGGCCAUCGGGAGGGAGAGCUGGAGGCGUGGGUAGAAUGUAAGCUCACUUAGCAUGCUCGAGCGCGCUGGUCCACUGGGGAGAGUCCACUGCCGGAUCCCCGCCCCCGCCAAGCGAACCUCCCGGAAGCUCUAAGGAUAACUUACUUCCUGUUCCACUUACUCUUCCGGUCUCCAUGGCGACCGGGCGCCUUGGGGUUGGGGAGACGCUGCAGGCCCUUAACGCCGCUGUAGGGCCUGGUAGCCCGGUGUGGUUUAAGGAAACGCAUGCCCGACACCUUCGUGUCCGAGACUUCUUGGCACCGCGAAGCGCGCUACAGGCGCGCUUCAGGGACGGGCAGGUGCCAGAGUGCGUGUUCCGGGCGGUCUCCUGCCUGCAGGGUCCGGGAGUGGCCCCUGUUCUGCGUUGCGCGCCCACACCCGCGGGCUUAUCGCUCCAACUACAGCGGCCCGCAGUCUUCGAACAUGUACUCGGUGCCCUGGCCUCCUAUGCUACUCCUGCCAAACCCGCCUCACCAGGCCCGCGCGUUAUCCUACACUGCCCGGCACUGCGCUGUAAUCCAGAUACGCUCCGAUUGAGCCAGCUGCGUGCUGUGCUAGUGGCCGAUCACCUAGUACGGGUGCUGCGCGCUCACGGGGUACGUGUGUGCACAGUGCCCCCGGUGCGGGACCCACACAUGUCAACUUUCCUCCAGAAACUUCGAGUGGAAUGGCCCUCUGCCUCAAAGAACACCUCGACCGAAACACUGAGGACCUGUGUUCUUGCAAAGUUUAAUGUUUCUAAGGAGGAGACACUGCCCCCUGGCGUCCUAGGCCGACUGUGUCUGAAGGAACUGGUAGAACAGAGACAUGCUGCUGGCUAUGACCCCAGCAUAGAUCACUGUUUGGUGACUGAAGAUCUGCUCUCUGUGCUGUCUGAGCUGCAGGAGGCUGCGCGCCAUUGGCCAGAGGAUGGCCACCCAGCCCCGGUUGGGGGUCCAGAUGCCGGUGUAGAUGACUGUGUGGUUAUACAUGUGGUGAGCUGUGAAGAGGCAUUCCAGCAACAAAAGCUGGAUCUGCUUUGGCAGAAGGUGGAUGACCAGGUUCCUCACAGGCAGGUUGGUUACCAAAGAAGCACCUGGUGUGUGGCCCAGUGAAAGUAGCUGGUGUGCCUGGCACCCAGAUGACCGCCCCCGAGUACCACAGGCUCCGACAUGCUCAGGUGUGCAAGGCCUCAGCCCAGAAGCAUGGUGGUGACUUGGCACAAGACCCGGCCUGGACCGAGACCUUUGAUAUUCUCUCUGUGGCCACCAUUAAAUUUGAGAUGCUAAGCACAGCUCCACAGGGCCA